rnacentral:rRNA from 1 species
CAAUUGCGAAGGCAGCUUUCUGGAUCAUUACUGACACUGAGGAACGAAAGCAUGGGUAGCGAAGAGGAUUAGAUACCCUCGUAGUCCAUGCCGUAAACGAUGUGUGUUAGACGUUGGAAAUUUAUUUUCAGUGUCGCAGGGAAACCGAUAAACACACCGCCUGGGGAGUACGACCGCAAGGUUAAAACUCAAAUGAAUUGACGGGGACCCGCACAAGUAGUGGAGCAUGUGGUUUAAUUCGAAGAUACGCGCAGAACCUUACCAACACUUGACAUGUUCGUCGCGACUCUAAGAGAUUAGAGUUUUCGGUUCGGCCGGACGAAACACGGGUGCUGCAUGGCUGUCGUCAGCUCGUGUCGUGAGAUGUUGGGUUAAGUCCCGCAACGAGCGCAACCCUCACUUUUAGUUGCCAUCAUUAAGUUGGGCACUCUGAAAGAACUGCCAGUGAUAAGCUGGAGGAAGGUGGGGAUGACGUCAAGUCCUCAUGGCCCUUACGUGUUGGGCUACACACGUGCUACAAUGGCAUCUACAACAGGAAGCAAAACGGCAACGUUAAGCAAAUCCCGAAAAGAUGCCUCAGUUCGGAUUGCACUCUGCAACUCGAGUGCAUGAAGCUGGAAUUACUAGUAAUCGUGGAUCAGCGUGCCACGGUGAAUGCGUUCCCGGGUCUUGUACACACCGCCCGUCACACCAUGGGAGUUGGUUCUACCUUAAGGCAAGGUUUUAAACCCUUGACCACGGUAUAGUCAGCGACUGGGGUGAAGUCGUAACAAGGUAGCCGUA